GCCUGGGUGGCUCAGUCGGUUAAGCGUCUGACUUCGGCUCAGGUCAUGAUCUCACAGUUUGUGAGUUCGAGCCCCACGUCAGGCU
rnacentral:tRNA from 1 species